CAGGGCAUUUUUUUCCUUAUUUAAUUUGCCCACUUUUCUAAAAUACUUUUUCAUUUUCUUUAGGCCACCAUAAUGGCUAUUCCAAAAGAAUUAUUGGUUUUACUUUUGGGUAUAGCCAUUUUGUCAAAAGUUGCUGAAUGUGCAGCUUUUGGUUCACGUCGUGGCCUUGUCGAGACAGUUUUUGAUGUUACCAGGUUUGGAGCUAGACCAAAUACCCCUGCAGAUAGCACUAGGGUAAGUUUGGAAUCAAAUAACAAUAAUAAGUACAUAUGAUUUAAAAUUUCUCAAAUUAUCCUCAAUGACCCUUCUCACAAUGAGAAUGUCUAUAACUUUAUUUUCACCUUGUCCUAUAUGGAAUAAACUUGAUAAUGAAUAUAUGAACUGGUUGUUUGUUAUUCAAAAAUUCGUGUUUAGGCCGUUCAUACUAUUCAAACAUAGUAUUGCAAUAUAAGAUUUUAAUUUUUUCGUGUUUCAUUAGUUAUAUAUUUUUCCAUGGAGUUUUAAUACAUAUUUAGGUAUAUAAAAUUCUGAAGGAGAGCAAUCUACAUCCCCACCCGUUUAUGCGAAAGUGGGGUCCUGGUAGCGAAAUUAGGAUUUUGAAUGAGGGAAUUCAAAAAAUACUCAAGAAUGCUAUACCGAAAUUUGAACCUGCAAAGUAGAAUAACUUUUGAGUCACCUUUGUCAUUACAUUAGAAGCUUUUCUUAUGUCAAUAAUAUCUGACAAUUUAACUAUACUCAAAAAAAUUAUUUUUACCCUAUUUGUACAUCAUAUUUUUCUGAAGAAUUAGAUGAUUAAGUUAAACCACCAUAGAGCCAUAUAACUCCGCUCCUGAAUCCCCCUGUAAUUAACUCUGAUGAUCAAAUUCCAUUUUUAUAAAUCCCUAGGACUUAUAUGCUAAGCUGAAACUUUUUAUUAUAUAACUGCUUAUUUGGUUUGAUGAUUUUAGAGACAAAUAGAUGAUAAAUAAGGCUAGAACUAUUGCAUCUUGAGGCAGUAUCGGAGCCACCUUAGUAAACGGGUUGUUAAUUGACACAUUUUCGUCGAAAAAUUACAUUGUGUAGCUAUAUCGAUCAAAAGUAUUUCUAUGCAGGAAUAUACGGUACGAGUUCGGCAGAACCCAGUAGUUGUAUUAAGGAAUUCACUAAAUAUAUAUAUGUAUAGUUACAUGCGGAUCUAGUAGUAUAAAUGAAUUGUGGGUUCGAUGGAAAUGUUAAAAUUCAUAAACUUCAAAACCUAGAUCGCCUCUGUUUCUAUAUAUAUAUAUUAUACAUUCAAUUUUCUUAAUUUAUUUGUGUGUUUAUUUUUUUAUAUUUUGACAUCAGUUAAUGAAACUUCUGGCUCCGCCACUGCAUGCAGGGACUUAUGAUGGCAUGGAGAUCAGCUUGCCAAUCACCAGGACCAGCCAAAGUUGUUAUUCCUCCAGGAACAUACACUACAGGAGAAACUAUAUUUCAAGGGCCAUGCACAAGUCCUAGGCCAAUUACUAUUGAAAUUCAAGGAACUUUGUUGUCAAAUACUGACAUGAGUUUGUACACAAGAGCAGCUUGGAUUUCUAUCGAACAUGUAGAUGGCAUC
rnacentral:lncRNA from 1 species